rnacentral:tRNA from 1 species
GGAAAUGUGGCUUAGUGGUGAAGUGCUUGCCUAGCAUGCAUGAAGUUCUGGGUUCAAUUCCUCAGUACCA